UUGUGCGGGUUUUGAAUCAGAUGGUUCUAUGGAUAGCGCUCCAUGUGAAAGCCCUACUUAUGAAGCUUCGUAUUCAGAUGGUUCCGUGGGGAGCGCACCAGGUGAAAGUGGACCGUCAACUACAUAGCCAUGCAUGAACGCCUUAAGAUUUCUUGAAUUGUUGAAUAAAACCGGGAACUCCAUGACCUACUUUUAAGCUUUUCCCCCUGUAAUGUAUGUUUUAAAACUUGGCAUACAUGCUUACUCUUAAAUGGAUUACGCAACGAAUUUUCCUACUCUAUGCACGCCUUACUUUUUUGU
rnacentral:lncRNA from 1 species